UACGUAGGUGGCAAGCGUUGUCCGGAUUUACUGGGCGUAAAGAGCGCGCAGGCGGUCGUUCAAGUCGCGUGUGAAAGCCCCCCGGCUCAACUGGGGAGGGUCACGCGAUACUGAUCGACUCGAAGGCAGGAGAGGGUAGUGGAAUUCCCGGUGUAGUGGUGAAAUGCGUAGAUAUCGGGAGGAACACCAGUGGCGAAGGCGGGUCUCUGGGCCGAUACUGACGCUGAGGAGCGAAAGCGUGGGGAGCGAACAGG
rnacentral:rRNA from 1 species